UACGUAGGUGGCAAGCGUUGUCCGGAUUUACUGGGCGUAAAGAGCGCGCAGGCGGUCGUUCAAGUCGCGUGUGAAAGCCCCCGGCUCAACUGGGGAGGGUCACGCGAUACUGAUCGACUCGAAGGCAGGAGAGGGUAGUGGAAUUCCAGGUGUAGCGGUGAAAUGCGUAGAUAUCUGGAGGAACACCGGUGGCGAAGGCGGCAUCCUGGACCGAGAUUGACGCUGAGGCGCGAAAGCUAGGGGAGCAAACGGG
rnacentral:rRNA from 1 species